rnacentral:rRNA from 1 species
UACGGAGGGUGCAAGCGUUAUCCGGAUUUACUGGGUUUAAAGGGUGCGUAGGCGGAUAAGUAAGUCCGUGAUGAAAUCCUGCAGCUUAACUGCAGAACUGCCGUGGAUACUAUUUGUCUUGAAUAUCGUGGAGGUUAGCGGAAUAUGUCAUGUAGCGGUGAAAUGCUUAGAUAUGACAUAGAACACCCAUUGCGAAGGCAGCUAACUACGCGAUUAUUGACGCUGAGGCACGAAAGCGUGGGGAGCAAACAGG